CAACAUGGGUACCUGCCUUUCAGUGAGGAAUACCGGCGAGAAAUCGCCGACAAGACCGCAUACGCUUGUCUUUCGAGAGAGGGACAAGGAAAGUCUCGUUGCAAGACGGGACGCUGGAAGAGGGGCCUGUGGCCGAUUAGCUAUUGGGGGGGUAAUGGCCUCCCAAGGCGACGAUCGGUAGCUGGUCUGAGAGGACGAUCAGCCACACUGGGAUUGAGAACGGCCCAG
rnacentral:rRNA from 1 species